rnacentral:rRNA from 1 species
GACGAACGCUGGCGGCGUGCUUAACACAUGCAAGUCGAACGGAAAGGCCCUGCUUUAGUGUGGUGCUCGAGUGGCGAACGGGUGAGUAACACGUGAGUAACCUGCCCUAGACUUUGGGAUAACUUCAGGAAACUGUGGCUAAUACCGGCUAGGAGCUCCUGCUGCAUGGUGUGGGUUGGAAAUUUUCGGCGGUUGGGGAUGGACUCGCGGCUUAUCAGCUUGUUGGUGGGGUAGUGGCUUACCAAGGCUUUGACGGCUAGCCGGCCUGAGAGGGUGACCGGCCACAUUGGGACUGAGAUAGGGCCCAGACUGCAACGGGAGGCAGCAGUGGGAAAUAGUGCACGAUGGGCGGAAGCCGGAUGCAGCGACGCCGCGUGCGGGAUGACGGCCGUCGGGUUGUAAACCGUUUUCGCCUGUGACGAAGCGAGAGUGACGGUAAUGUGUAAAGAAGCAACGGCUAACUACGUG